CCAAACGCCGCAAGACUCAUCUCGCGAGACUAACGUCACUUACACGUAAGCGAGGUGACGCAAACCGUCGCCACUUGGAGAGAUAAGCCACAGAAACUCAGCGGUACACUGUCGGAGGCUAUUAGUCUUUCCAGCUGAGACGAGGUCACCCAUUCCGAUUAGAAGAAAAGAGGUUCCAGCUAAAUAUUCGGAAGGGGUUUAUUUUUUUUAACAACAAAUUUUUCAGUAUAAUUGGCACAUUUACAGAUAGCAUAUAAAACAAUUAAGAGAGGAUUAGUCCAGCAAGUUGUACAGUAAUAUAGCACCACAUUAUCAUAAUACCCAAUCCAAGUUAUCUAUUCCAAUCAUACUAACUAUUAUAAUUAUAUAACAAUAAGCAAAGGGGCAAGGGAGAAAUAAUAAUGAAAAAAAAGGGGGGGAUAAGGGGGAAAAAAGUAAAAUCUUCCUCUCGCAAAACUAUCAGGUACCAUUAUCCUUAACAUUGUAAUCAGCUAUAGAUAGAAUCAACAAUUUAAGACUUCUCCAGUUGGGAAUAAACUUGCCAAGGACGCCAUAUGUCACAGAAUUGUUUAUAUUUCCCUAAGGAUUGUGCUGUUAAUUUCUCAUAUAGACAUACCCUCAUCAUCCUUUCUUUGACUUUAUUAAAUUGUAAAUAUUGAGUCUUCUAA